UUUAGCUCGGCUGUAACAGACCUGUUCAGCACUGAUUACCCACUGAAGCUAAGCAAGGCUGAGCCUGGUCAGUACCUGGAUGGGAGACCUCCUGGGAAAACUAGUAUGCUGGAA
rnacentral:rRNA from 1 species